AGAUUUUGACGAUGCCCGUUCUAUAACGAUAACUUUUGAAACGGUACCUGAAUCUGUAGCCUAGUCUAGGCCUACCUUCUUUAAAAUGACGAGCAGACAGAACUUUAAAAAAAAAAUUUAUUGCAAAGGCAUUUCCCAUUGUUCGUAUCCUUUUGGGUUAAAUACAGCCACUUCUAGUUAGUGCCGCUUCUGGUAUUUUGCCCGAGUUUAACGCCAGCUAGCUUUCUAACGGUACCUGCGGUCAGAGACGGAGUCGAUAAAAACGAGUGUAACGUUAGUGAAUAUAGCAACGAAAUUCUCCACCGAAAUCCUGGUCCUGCAGGUACCAGUUGUAUGCAAACCGGUGCCACAGUGCUACUGGAACAACCGAACUGUAUCAUUGACUGGAACCACUGUCUCGGACUACAUGACUACAAGGAACGAGUGCUUUCACCCCAGUAACGGCACCUAGAUAAACAUUAACAGCCUGUCCGUCUGCAAAGCACGAGGGGGCUUCCUGAACAAAACAGGACAUAAAAAAGGAGGCAAAUGCUUCCGGGUUCGGGGGAACGUCAGCUCGGGACAGACAGGUGGACGCGUCCGCAGCUGGGGACCCGUCUCCUGAUCACGCCGUAGACUAAAGCGGGACAGGUGCCACCCUCGCCCUCCCCGCUUUCCGGGAACAACAACAACAUGGGGUGGCCCGGACCUGGGGGGGGAGGAGAGCGAGAGGAAAACAAGAGAAGAACAAGAAGCGGGUUAUUUAAUUUAUGUGGAAAGCGAGCAAGAGUGGCAGUGAUACAUGAGUUUGUUAGUCAAUUGAUAAAGGAGAGGAAAUUUUUAAAAAACAUUCAUCACCAAAGGAUAUAGGCACCAUAUAUCACCUAUUUGCAAACAACAGGCUAAUAUUCAUCCCGGGAAUGAUUCAGUGACCCGCUCGGAUCCACAGGCAGGGUCGGCUCUGACCUAAUUAAUGG